rfam:Turnip yellows virus genome assembly, complete genome: monopartite
GAAGUUAGCCCUACAUACGUAAGUUGCAAGUAAGGGAAACAAAGUCUUACACCCG